UAACACAUUCCCAUUUUUUUACCUCUAUCACUCCGUAAAAAAAGAACCUAACCCGACGAUUUGCAUCGGCUGAUUCGCUUGUUCAUGCUCCCAAAUCAAUCGGCUUCCACGACAUUUGUUAUUUAUCCUCAGUUAUUUAUUGUUUAUUUUGGGGUAAAGUAUGUCUGGGAACACCUUUAUUCUUGUACUCUUUCAUCAUGGUGGAACCUUUACCGAUCCUCCAGACACAAAAUAUGUCACCAAUAAGAGGUGAACGAAUUUUUUAUUGAUCAGGACCACUUUUCCCUUUUUGAAUUUGGUUAUUAUACAAGGGGAUCGGAGUACCAUACUAUUGGUCUUUUUUUUAAUGUAUUUAACCCUAAUACUAAAUAAUUUGUGUUAGUGGAAAAUGACGAUCAAUUAUAUAAUAUUGGUUGUCACUGUACUGAUGGAGAAUUAAAUGUUUAUGUUUUACAUGUUAUUGAUGAGGUUGUUGAGAUAGUUGUCCCAGUUGGCUAUUUAUGUGGGCCAGAAAUUACUCAAGAUAGUACUAACUCAAUAAAUAAGUCAUCUAGGAAAACAACUGAAGGUGGUCCAGAUAAUAUAACUGCAGAACAGCCUCUUGAAGAGCCUUAACUUGAAGAGUCACAGGCUGGAGUUUCUGUUGAUGAUUUUUCUGCUGAAGAACCAACUGUAGAGGAUGUUAUUGCUGAGGAAGAUGGUUCUGUUAUUGCAGAAGAUGAAAUUAUAGGUGGUGAAGAAUGGGUUGAAUCAGACGUGACUAGUAGUGUGUUUGAUGUAGAUAAAAUUCCUGAUGAGGAUGAUAGUGAGGUUGAUGAAGAGUUGAGAGUCAUAAGAAAUUAUAAGAAAUUAUAGGAGAAAUAAAACAAAGGCUAGCAGGAAAAAAGAAAUAACCUGAAACUGCUAGAGUACCAAUAGGAGAAUCUGGAAUUGAUAGAGGUUUUGAAGAUAUAGGAGUGAACAAAUGACAGAAAUAUGCUUGCAGAUUAGGAGGUGAUGAGGAAUUCAUAGAUAGUUCAGCUGCUGGAAGUGAUGACACUAGUGAAAAGCUGGAUAUGGACUUUGAGCCAGGUGCUGACAUUCCAAGUAGAAGGAAGAGCACAAAGGUUAGAUAUGAUCCAGAUUGUGUAGUUGUAAUAUUUGAAUGCUAAGGUAUUUAGGAAGGCAGUGACUAAUUAUGCGGUUGAGUACCAUGUUCGAUUGAAGCUUAGACCCAAUGAGAAGCAUGGAAUAAGGAUAAGGUGUAAACAUAAAUGAAGAAGAUAAGAGUUAUUUGAUAGUAUUGAUAGGGAUUCUAAUGACUUUAUGGUGAAAAAAUACUAUCAUAUUCACAAGUGUCAACCAUUAAACACAAACAAGUUGUGAAAUUUCAAGUACAUUGCUAAAGAUUCAAAAAAGAUCUAACUACUGCAUAUUAUAUAAGGAUCUAGGAAAUUCAGGAACUUGUUAUAGAGAAUUUGGGAUUGUAUGUAGGAAGAACAAUUGUUUAUAGGGCCAAAAAAUAGUUCUUAGAGAGUUUAUGCGGGAUUGGAAGUUGGAGUUUUCUAGACUUUGGGACUAUGUUGACAGUAUUAAAGAAAUAAAUCCCGGUACCUCUUGUUGGGUAGAAAUUGACAGAGAAUCAAAGUCUGGUAAGAAUUUGUUUAAGUACUUUUAUGUUUGUUUUAAUGCCUUGAAGAAAGGUUGGCUAUAAAGUUGUAGGAAGAUCAUUGGCUUUGAUGGGUGCUUUCUAAAAGGACAUUGCAAGGGUGAAUUAUUGGUUGUUGUAGGAAGAAAUGAGAACCAUCAGAUAUUUACUAUUGCAUGGGUUGUUGUAUACCAUGAGACCAAACAUUCAUGGAGCUGGUUCAUUAGACACUUAAUGGAAGAUCUGCAUCUGGGAUAUGGUCAAGGUUUAACAGUUAUUUCAGAUAUGAAGAAGCGAUUAUAGGAAGCUGUGAAUGACUUGCUGCCUGAUGCAGAAGUCAGGAUGUGUGCAAGGCACAUAUGGUCCAAUUGGCCAAAAAAAUGGAGGAGGUGAAGAAAGAAGAAGACAAUUAUAGAAGAUUUCAAAGGCAAGCUAUGUGUUUAAAUACAACAAAGAAGUUGAGAACAUGAGGAGACUUGGUUCACAGAAUAUAUGUGAAGAUAUGAUGAAGUAUCCAAGGGAGGCAUGGUGCAGAGCUUUCUUCCAAAAAUAUUCCAGGCAUGACAUAGUAGAGAAUAACAUGUUUGAGACUUUCAAUUCGUGGAUAUUGGCUACUAGGCACAAGAGUAUUAUUACCAUGAUAGAAGAAAUUAGAUAUAAGAUCAUGGCUAGAUAUCUUUAGCCAAGAGUCUAUUAGAAAUAGUCUCUCUGCCCUUCCAGAAUAGGGGUAAGACUGCGUACAUCCUACCCUCCCUAGACCGUGCUUGUGGAAUUAUACUAGGUUGUUGUUGUUGUCAUCAUGGAUAUACAUGUUGAUAUGAUUAGGUUGCUGAGACAUGAAUUUCAGAUAUAUUACCUAUGGCUAGGCUAAUAUUAGAAGAGAAUAAGGAAUUAGCUAGACAAUUCACAAUUAUAUGGAAUAGUCAGGAGGGAUUUGAAAUCAAAUAGAAAGAGUUAAGGUUUGUAGUAAAUACUACCUUCAAGACGUGCACUUGUAGGUUGUGGAAGUUGAGAUGCAUCCCAUGUGAACAUGCAGUAUGUGCAUAUCAUUAUUUACAGCAGGAUCCAGGUGAACAUGUGGAGCAUUGGUACAGAAAGGAUAAAUUCCUACAGCCUUAUGGAUACUUCAUUCAGCCAAUUCCUAACUUAGAAAUGUGGCCAUUAAGUAACAAUCCUCCAAUUGACCACCAACACCAAAGCCAAUGCCAGGCAGAUCCCAAAAGAAUAGAAGAAAGGCCAAGAAUGAACUAGCAAAAAAGGGACAAGCUGUCUAAAAAAGGAGUAAAAAUGACUUGUUCACAACGUCGUCAACUUGGCCACAACAAAAAAGGAUGUCCAACAAGGAGUGGCCCUAAAGAGUCUUCAGCUACUGGUGAAAGGGGCAGAGGAAGGGGCAAUGCUACCCAACUGGUGCAACUGCUGGGGAAGUAGCAAUGGUACCCAAAUAAGUUUAGGGACCGAAGGAAGUGGCAAUGGUACCCAAACAAGUGCAGUGAAUGGAGAAACUGCCAAUGGUAUCCAAACAAGUACAACUACUGGAGGAAGGGGCAACGGAAGGGGCAGAGGAAAGGCAAGUAGUACAACAAUUGACCUACCAGAGAUGUAUUCUCAGAUGUUAUUCCUCAAACUGCUCUUAGAGAAAGGGGUAUAGUAUCAAGAGGAAGAGUAACUUUAACUGGUGUGAAAAUGGGGUCUUUAACUGGAUCUUCACCUGCUGCUGGACAAAAAAGACCAAGACAUGUUGGAUUUGGAUGCUACACUAACCCGGAGACUGAAAGAACAGUCCUUAAUCCUGGUACUACUGGUGAAAGCGUUAUAAACCAUGGGAGUAUAUUGAGUAGUACCAAGUGAUAGAAUUAGGAUACCAGGACUAAGAUGGAAUGGAAGAGAUGCAAUUACUACUUCCUAACUUCAGCAAAUGAGUGUAAGUCAAAGAAACAAAGUUGGACAACCCACAAAUCAACAACCACCACAAAAAGUUGCAACUCAAGUGAUCAUGGAUAAAUUUGUCAAGAAAUAGCUUUAGUGACUUGGAUUUUGUAGUUGACAGUUUUUAGUUUGCAGCAAUUUGUACUGUAAUAGCAAUAUGAAUUCUAUAGUGACUUGGAUUGCGGCAAGUAGUUUUCAGUGACUUGCCAAGAACCUACUGUUUUUUGUUGAACCUCAUUUUGCCAUUAUGGUUUGACUACUUGUAAUGUGCUGGAUUUUUUCAUAUUUGUAGAACCUAUUUCAAUUAUUUGAUUUUAUUCCCUUUUGUUAUUA